AAACAAAAUGAGUUAAGGUAUGAAAAACUAGCAAAAAAAGAAGCUGAAAGUUACUAAAUCCCAAAUCAAGUUUGGUAACAACACUUUAUUUAGUGUUGACA